rnacentral:rRNA from 1 species
GAUGAACGCUAGCUACAGGCUUAACACAUGCAAGUCGAGGGGCAGCAUGGUCUUAGCUUGCUAAGGCCGAUGGCGACCGGCGCACGGGUGAGUAACACGUAUCCAACCUGCCGUCUACUCUUGGACAGCCUUCUGAAAGGAAGAUUAAUACAAGAUGGCAUCAUGAGUCCGCAUGUUCACAUGAUUAAAGGUAUUCCGGUAGACGAUGGGGAUGCGUUCCAUUAGAUAGUAGGCGGGGUAACGGCCCACCUAGUCUUCGAUGGAUAGGGGUUCUGAGAGGAAGGUCCCACAUUGGAACUGAGACACGGUCCAAACUCCUACGGGAGCAGCAGUGAGGAAUAUUGGGUCAAUGGGCAGAGCCUGAACCAGCCAAGUAGCGUGAAGGAAGAAGUAUCUCGGGUAUGUAAACUUCUAUCAGCAGGGAA